CAAAAUUUACUAAUCCAACUUCUGUAUUUCCCAACUGAUCUUAAUGCAAAUUGGUGGGAAUCAUAGCUGUUUCUCCUCAUAUAGUGUGUGGCCUAAGCAUCACGAGUAUUCCAGAAUUUACUGGCACCAUCUAGUCUAGGUGAUCACCAUAUUGGCACGACAUGUCGCUGCAAUGGGCCUUAUUAAUAUGCAACAGAGAAAUUUAGUGGACAGGCCAGACAAAUCUUGCUCGAAGGCCACAUGUGGCCCACGGGCUGGGGGUUGCCCAUCUCUAUUGUAUGCUUUAACUUGCCACAAAAUCAACUUUCCUGCUUCUUCAAAGAAAGUACUACAAGAGCAACUUGUGAUAUUUUCUUUGAAGAAGCAGGGAAAACCAAAAAGCAAG
rnacentral:lncRNA from 1 species